UCCGGAGACCUCCUCGUCUUAUCUGAACCGAGCGCGCAGCUGCCGCGCGUUAAUAACGAUAGCCUUUAAUUUCACGCUCGUAUGGCGUCUGGCGCGCGGCUCUGCGCUGCCGGGGAUCGUCCGGUUCGGGUGAGAGCGGAAAACCUCCGCCCGGAGGCGGUGCGGCCCCAGCCCUGGAGGAGCCCUGGAGCCCCGGGCUGGUAGUGCUCCGCCCGCGGCGGGGACGGAAACCGCGUGGCCUUUACGGCCCCCUCCGACCCCACCGCUCCACGAUCGUACGGUGUUCCCGAGGACCCGUCCGAGCCACGCUGCGCCCAGCGGGGCUCUGCCGAGAGGAGCUCCGGGCGGAGGGGAAAUGGGCUCGGGGGCUCGGGGCUGUUCUGCGCCCCGCUUCGCGCUGCCCCGCAGGCGCUGUUCGGGGGCAUUCCGCCGGGACGGCGCUGACAUCACCGCGUGCGGCCCCAAAUCUCCCCCACGGCUGCGGGAGGAGGCGGAACCGCCGCGUUCCUCCGCUCGUGGUUGUGCAAAGGCGGCGCUGACGGCUGAACGCGUCUUGUUUUCUUAAUUUGCACUAUUAAUAGAAGUGGAGAAGUGAAACAUGGCUGUGACAAAGGGAGGGGAAACCCGGCACCGCAGAUUCCUGCUUUCGGGCCGACGUCACCCGGUCCUCGUGGGUCACAGCGGGGAGCUUCCCAGCUGGCAGUGAGGGCUAUAAGACACUGGUAGGGAUGGGCUGCGGCCGCACAGAUCGCAUAUGGGCACAUCGACCGACGCGAUGUGGAGAGCUCUGCUGUGCAUCCACGCUGUCCUGUCUGUGACCCCGCACAAGGCAGGAUUGAUUUCAUCUUCGUCUCAUAGCAGCCGACCCCAGGGAUUCCACACCCAGGAAGCGCCUACGAACAAUGGUCAUCUCAUUGAGGUCUGCUUCCAUGGGUAGAGCCCACAGCCCAGCUGGGAGAGCCAGAACAGCGACUUUGCUGACACUUCCUCGCUCCCCCUUUGCACCACCGCUCCUCAGCGGCUCCAGGAGACAGAAAGAGGUUGGUGAGAGUUGGCUGCAAUGUCAUCUGCAGCCCAGCUGGUGUGGGACACUCGACGGGAGGGGAAAGGAGCUCUGCUCUUCAGCUUCUCGUCGUGGUGUUUCAUGGUUGGGAGGCACCAAACUCCCGUAAAAACGCUGUCCCUGUUUGCUCUGCUUUGCACUUCUCACGGGACAGAAAGUUUGGUAUUUCUGUACACUGCUUACUGUCUGUCUUAUUCAAAGCAACAAAAAUAAACACCAUUAAGUCUG